ensembl:Mt_tRNA
AGAAGUUUAGGAUAUCUAGUCCAAGGGCCUUCAAAGCCCUAAGAAAACACAAAGUUUAACUUCUG